GAUGGAAGAACGUAGCGAAAUGCGAUAAGUAGUGUGAAUUGCAGAAUUCAGUGAAUCAUCGAAUCUUUGAACGCACAUUGCGCCCUUUGGUAUUCCUUAGGGCAUGCCUGUUCGAGCGUCAUUUAAACCUUCAAGCUAAGCUUGGUGUUGGGUGACUGUCCGCUUCACGGCGGACUCGCCUCAAAAUUAUUGGCGGCCGGUACAUUGGCUUCGAGCGCAGCAGAAACGCGAACUCGGGCCCGUCGUAUUGGCUCCCAGAAGCUAUCUUCACAAUUUUGACCUCGGAUCAGGUAGGGAUACCCGCUGAACUUAAGCAUAUCAAUAAGCGGAGGA
rnacentral:misc_RNA from 1 species